UACGUAGGGGGCAAGCGUUGUCCGGAUUUAUUGGGCGUAAAGAGCGUGUAGGCGGCCAGGUAGGUCCGUUGUGAAAACUGGAGGCUUAACCUCCAGCGGUCGAUGGAAACCAUCUGGCUAGAGUCCGGAAGAGGAGAGUGGAAUUCCUGGUGUAGCGGUGAAAUGCGCAGAUAUCAGGAGGAACACCAGUGGCGAAGGCGGUGGUCUGGGCCGAUACUGACGCUGUAGAGCGAAAGCGUGGGGAGCGAACAGG
rnacentral:rRNA from 1 species